rnacentral:rRNA from 1 species
GGGAGCUUGCUCCGCUGACGAGUGGCGAACGGGUGAGUAAUGCAUCGGAACGUACCCAGUCGUGGGGGAUAACGUAGCGAAAGUUACGCUAAUACCGCAUACGUCCUGAGGGAGAGAGCGGGGGACCGAAAGGCCUCGCGCGAUUGGAGCGGCCGAUGUCGGAUUAGCUAGUUGGUGGGGUAAAGGCCUACCAAGGCGACGAUCCGUAGCGGGUCUGAGAGGAUGAUCCGCCACACUGGGACUGAGACACGGCCCAGACUCCUACGGGAGGCAGCAGUGAGGAAUUUUGGACAAUGGGGGCAACCCUGAUCCAGCCAUGCCGCGUGAGUGAAGAAGGCCUUCGGGUUGUAAAGCUCUUUCAGACGGAAAGAAAACGCAUCGGUGAAUACCCGAUGUGGAUGACGGUACCGUAAGAAGAAGCACCGGCUAACUACGUGCCAGCAGCCGCGGUAAUACGUAGGGUGCGAGCGUUAAUCGGAAUUACUGGGCGUAAAGCGUGCGCAGGCGGUUAUGUAAGACAGAUGUGAAAUCCCCGGGCUCAACCUGGGAACUGCGUUUGUGACUGCAUAACUAGAGUACGGCAGAGGGAGGUGGAAUUUCGCGUGUAGCAGUGAAAUGCGUAGAUAUGCG